ACUUUGCAGCCCGACUUGAGCGGAACUCCUUUUUUGCUUUCCUAAAUUUUUCUUUUUAAGACAAUUUCUGAUGCAAAAAAGAGUGGGAGCGGAAGACGGAAAAGCUG
rnacentral:misc_RNA from 1 species